rnacentral:tRNA from 1 species
GCUUUCGUGGUGUAGUGGUCAGCACACUCGGCGGGUAUUGGAGAUGUCUACGGUUCGAGUCCCGGCGAGGGCA